GUAAGUUACUAGUGUUCCCGAUAGGAUUAGUUAUCCAAAAGAUCCUUGUAACCGAAAUUAAAUUUAGGGGGAAUUUACAUG
rnacentral:sRNA from 2 species